AAUAUGGGACAAUGUGGGCAACGCUGAUCUAGUCAUGCCGCGUGUGUGAAGAAGGUCUUCGGAUUGUAAAGCACUUUAAGUUGGGAGGAAGGGCUUUAGGUUAAUACCCUGAAGUUUUGACGUUACCAACAGAGUAAGCACCGGCUAAGUCUGUUCCGGCAGCCGCGGUAAUAUAGAGGGUGCAAGCGUUAAGCGGAAUUACGUGGCGUAAAGCGCGCGUAGGUGGUUCAGUAAGAUGGGUGUGAAAUCCCCGGGCUUAACCUGGGAACUGCUUUCAUAACUGCUGAGCUAGAGUACGGUAGAGGGUAGUGGAAUUUCCUGUGUAGCGGUGAAAUGCGUAGAUAUAGGAAGGAACACCAGUGGCGAAGGCGACUACCUGGACUGAUACUGACACUGAGGUGCGAAAGCGUGGGGAGCAAAC
rnacentral:rRNA from 1 species